CACACUAUCGUUAACUGAAUACAUAGGUUAACGAGGCGAACCGGGGGAACUGAAACAUCUAAGUACCCCGAGGAAAAGAAAUCAACCGAGAUUCCCCCAGUAGCGGCGAGCGAACGGGGAGCAGCCCAGAGUCUGAAUCAGCUUGUGUGUUAGUGGAAGCGUCUGGAAAGUCGCACGGUACAGGGUGACAGUCCCGUACACGAAAGCACACAGGUUGUGAACUCGAAGAGUAGGGCGGGACACGUGGUAUCCUGUCUGAAUAUGGGGGGACCAUCCUCCAAGGCUAAAUACUCCUGACUGACCGAUAGUGAACCAGUACCGUGAGGGAAAGGCGAAAAGAACCCCGGCGAGGGGAGUGAAAAAGAACCUGAAACCGUGUACGUACAAGCAGUGGGAGCACCUUCGUGGUGUGACUGCGUACCUUUUGUAUAAUGGGUCAGCGACUUAUAUUCUGUAGCAAGGUUAACCGUAUAGGGGAGCCGAAGGGAAACCGAGUCUUAACUGGGCGUUAAGUUGCAGGGUAUAGACCCGAAACCCGGUGAUCUAGCCAUGGGCAGGUUGAAGGUUGGGUAACACUAACUGGAGGACCGAACCGACUAAUGUUGAAAAAUUAGCGGAUGACUUGUGGCUGGGGGUGAAAGGCCAAUCAAACCGGGAGAUAGCUGGUUCUCCCCGAAAGCUAUUUAGGUAGCGCCUCGUGAACUCAUCUUCGGGGGUAGAGCACUGUUUCGGCUAGGGGGCCAUCCCGGCUUACCAACCCGAUGCAAACUACGAAUACCGAAGAAUGUUAUCACGGGAGACACACGGCGGGUGCUAACGUCCGUCGUGAAGAGGGAAACAACCCAGACCGCCAGCUAAGGUCCCAAAGUCAUGGUUAAGUGGGAAACGAUGUGGGAAGGCACAGACAGCCAGGAUGUUGGCUUAGAAGCAGCCAUCAUUUAAAGAAAGCGUAAUAGCUCACUGGUCGAGUCGGCCUGCGCGGAAGAUGUAACGGGGCUAAACCAUGCACCGAAGCUGCGGCAGCGACGCUUAUGCGUUGUUGGGUAGGGGAGCGUUCUGUAAGCCGUUGAAGGUGUGCUGUGAGGCAUGCUGGAGGUAUCAGAAGUGCGAAUGCUGACAUAAGUAACGAUAAAGCGGGUGAAAAGCCCGCUCGCCGGAAGACCAAGGGUUCCUGUCCAACGUUAAUCGGGGCAGGGUGAGUCGACCCCUAAGGCGAGGCCGAAAGGCGUAGUCGAUGGGAAACAGGUUAAUAUUCCUGUACUUGGUGUUACUGCGAAGGGGGGACGGAGAAGGCUAUGUUAGCCGGGCGACGGUUGUCCCGGUUUAAGCAUGUAGGCGGAGGUUCCAGGUAAAUCCGGUACCUUUUAACGCUGAGGUGUGAUGACGAGGCACUACGGUGCUGAAGUAACAAAUGCCCUGCUUCCAGGAAAAGCCUCUAAGCAUCAGGUAACAUCAAAUCGUACCCCAAACCGACACAGGUGGUCAGGUAGAGAAUACCAAGGCGCUUGAGAGAACUCGGGUGAAGGAACUAGGCAAAAUGGUGCCGUAACUUCGGGAGAAGGCACGCUGAUAUGUAGGUGAAGCCCCUGCGGGUGGAGCUGAAAUCAGUCGAAGAUACCAGCUGGCUGCAACUGUUUAUUAAAAACACAGCACUGUGCAAACACGAAAGUGGACGUAUACGGUGUGACGCCUGCCCGGUGCCGGAAGGUUAAUUGAUGGGGUUAGCGGCAACGCGAAGCUCUUGAUCGAAGCCCCGGUAAACGGCGGCCGUAACUAUAACGGUCCUAAGGUAGCGAAAUUCCUUGUCGGGUAAGUUCCGACCUGCACGAAUGGCGUAAUGAUGGCCAGGCUGUCUCCACCCGAGACUCAGUGAAAUUGAACUCGCUGUGAAGAUGCAGUGUACCCGCGGCAAGACGGAAAGACCCCGUGAACCUUUACUAUAGCUUGACACUGAACACUGGUCCUUGAUGUGUAGGAUAGGUGGGAGGCUUUGAAGCGUGGACGCCAGUCUGCGUGGAGCCGUCCUUGAAAUACCACCCUUUAAUGGCUGGUGUUCUAACGUAGACCCGUGAUCCGGGUUGCGGACAGUGUCUGGUGGGUAGUUUGACUGGGGCGGUCUCCUCCCAAAGAGUAACGGAGGAGCACGAAGGUUAGCUAAUCCUGGUCGGACAUCAGGAGGUUAGUGCAAUGGCAUAAGCUAGCUUGACUGCGAGAGUGACGGCUCGAGCAGGUGCGAAAGCAGGUCAUAGUGAUCCGGUGGUUCUGAAUGGAAGGGCCAUCGCUCAACGGAUAAAAGGUACUCCGGGGAUAACAGGCUGAUACCGCCCAAGAGUUCAUAUCGACGGCGGUGUUUGGCACCUCGAUGUCGGCUCAUCACAUCCUGGGGCUGAAGUAGGUCCCAAGGGUAUGGCUGUUCGCCAUUUAAAGUGGUACGCGAGCUGGGUUUAGAACGUCGUGAGACAGUUCGGUCCCUAUCUGCCGUGGGCGCUGGAGAAUUGAGGGGGGCUGCUCCUAGUACGAGAGGACCGGAGUGGACGCAUCACUGGUGUUCGGGUUGUCAUGCCAAUGGCACUGCCCGGUAGCUAAAUGCGGAAAAGAUAAGUGCUGAAAGCAUCUAAGCACGAAACUUGCCCCGAGAUGAGUUCUCCCUGACUCUUUAAGAGUCCUGAAGGAACGUUGAAGACGACGACGUUGAUAGGUCGGGUGUGUAAGCGCAGCGAUGCGUUGAGCUAACCGAUACUAAUGAACCGUGAGGCUUAACCUU
rnacentral:rRNA from 1 species